AAUACGAUUUAAAUUGUACGGUUAGUACAAGACAGUGUACGCAGACUUUACAAGAAGCACGUGGACUACCGGCCGUUGACUCCAAAAUGGUGGUUAAACGCGCUUCAAGGUUAAUUCUCCAUUCACUGCACACCACCACAUUAGUUUACUGUAUAAUAAGCUAUCAGUAUUACACUUUAAACAAUAUUAAUGAGC